AUUGAACGCUGGCGGAAUGCUUUACACAUGCAAGUCGAACGGCAGCACGGACUUCGGUCUGGUGGCGAGUGGCGAACGGGUGAGUAAUGUAUCGGAACGUGCCCAGUCGUGGGGGAUAACGUAGUGAAAAUUACGCUAAUACCGCAUACGAUCUAUGGAUGAAAGCGGGGGAUCGCAAGACCUCGCGCGAUUGGAGCGGCCGAUAUCAGAUUAGGUAGUUGGUGGGGUAAAGGCCCACCAAGCCAACGAUCUGUAGCUGGUCUGAGAGGACGACCAGCCACACUGGAACUGAGACACGGUCCAGACUCCUACGGGAGGCAGCAGUGGGGAAUUUUGGACAAUGGGCGCAAGCCUGAUCCAGCCAUUCCGCGUGCAGGACGAAGGCCUUCGGGUUGUAAACUGCUUUUGUACAGAACGAAAAGCCUUGGGUUAAUACCCUGGGGUCAUGACGGUACUGUAAGAAUAAGCACCGGCUAACUACGUG
rnacentral:rRNA from 1 species